rnacentral:rRNA from 1 species
GACGAACGCUGGCGGCGUGCUUAACACAUGCAAGUCGAACGAUGAAGCUGGAGCUUGCUCCGGUGGAUUAGUGGCGAACGGGUGAGUAACACGUGAGCAAUCUGCCCUUGACUCUGGGAUAACUGCGGGAAACUGUAGCUAAUACCGGAUACGACACCUUGGGGCAUCCCAGGGUGUGGAAAGAAUUUCGGUCAAGGAUGAGCUCGCGGCCUAUCAGCUAGUUGGUGAGGUAAUGGCUCACCAAGGCGACGACGGGUAGCCGGCCUGAGAGGGUGACCGGCCACACUGGAACUGAGACACGGUCCAGACUCCUACGGGAGGCAGCAGUGGGGAAUAUUGCACAAUGGGCGAAAGCCUGAUGCAGCAACGCCGCGUGAGGGAUGAAGGCCUCGGGUUGUAAACCUCUUUUUUCUAGGGAGGAAUAAAAUGACGUGUACCUGAAGAAUAAGCAAUCGGCUAACUCCGUG